rnacentral:rRNA from 1 species
UAAACGCGGGUUGGCGAUGGUGGUGCAGAACUACGCCUUGUUCCCGCAUCUGAAAGUGGAAGACAACGUCGCUUUUGGCCUGCGUGCGCAGAAGCAGCCAAAGGCGCUAAUUAAUGAGCGUGUAACGAUGAAAAAGAACCUGAAACCGUGUACGUACAAGCAGUGGGAGCACAGGUUUACCUGUGUGACUGCGUACCUUUUGUAUAAUGGGUCAGCGACUUAUAUUCUGUAGCAAGGUUAACCGAAUAGGGGAGC